rnacentral:rRNA from 1 species
UGGGGAAUCUUGGACAAUGGGGGCAACCCUGAUCCAGCCAUGCCGCGUGAGUGAUGAAGGCCUUAGGGUCGUAAAGCUCUUUCGCCUGUGAAGAUAAUGACGGUAGCAGGUAAAGAAACCCCGGCUAACUCCGUGCCAGCAGCCGCGGUAAUACGGAGGGGGUUAGCGUUGUUCGGAAUUACUGGGCGUAAAGCGCACGUAGGCGGACCAGAAAGUUGGGGGUGAAAUCCCGGGGGCUCAACCCCGGAACUGCCUCCAAAACUAUUGGUCUAGAGUUCGAGAGAGGUGAGUGGAAUUCCAAGUGUAGAGGUGAAAUUCGUAGAUAUUUGGAGGAACACCAGUGGCGAAGGCGGCUCACUGGCUCGAUACUGACGCUGAGGUGCGAAAGUGUGGGGAGCAAAACAGGAUUAGAUACCCUGGUAGUCCACACCGUAAAACGAUGAAUGCCAGUCGUCGGGUAGCAUGCUAUUCGGUGACACACCUAACGGAUUAAGCAUUCCGCCUGGGGAGUACGGUCGCAAGAUU